rnacentral:lncRNA from 1 species
UGAGAUCAUGCAACGACUUUAGAAAACAAGAAUGCACAGAUUAAUAACUCUCCAAAUAACAUUUGGGCUCAAGUCUCACCAGGAUGUAGCAUUAGUUUGAGUUCCUUCCUUCAAGCAUGUUACAAAAACUAAUUUUUUCCUUUUGUGAUUACAUGUGAAUUCGUAAACUAUAACUACAACCAAGCAUAAACCAAAGAGCAUAUCAAACUUCCAUCCAUGUUUAUAACUUUCUUUAACAGUCAUGCACUUAAAAAACAAAAUCCUCAUCAUUGUGUUGGAAGGUACCCUAAGACACAAACACACAAAAACGACUCAAAACACUCUUUUUAGGCUUUUCAAAACACUUUUUUUUCAAAUUUUUAUGUGAUUUUCGGAGUUAUAUGUCAAAACACACUAAAACACACCAAAACUGCUUAAAAACACUUAAAAACAACAAGGAACAAGUCUAUAAGUAAUGGGUGAUAAAAUCCCACGAAUUUGCAUAAAAAACAGUUAGUUACCCCCCAUACUUCCUCAAUGUUUCAAGCAUAAAAUCACACCAAACAAAAUUAAACAUACAAACAGCAACUUAAUCAACUAAACUGGGCAGAUUAGAAAGAAUCAACAAAGAGAAGGGUUUUAGGAACGCAAAUCUGGAAUUUGAGUGAUUUCUAGGGCUUCCUUUGUUGAAUGCAUGGGUUGCCUCCAAGAAGCGCUUGCUUUAACGUCUUGCAGCCAGACGAUACUUCUCUUUAAGCUCCCCUAGGUCCCAUAGCAUGGAAUUGAUCCUUGAACGGAAGGUGAUACUUGAAGUGAUCCGGCAAUGGUUUAAAUUCGAGAGUGGGUGCCUAAAUUAUUAACAACAUGUAAGUAUAAAACGUAAUGGAAAUUGGAGAAGGUGACUUGCUUUGUCAGACAAGAACUCGAUGACAAACACCACUUCUUUGAAAGUUUCAGGGACUUUGAAUUUGGCCAGAUUUACUACGAUGGUUGUGAUUUGUCCCGUGUCAUCAAACUCAACUACUUUGGACUUUGUUGUUUCAAAUACGUCAUCUUUGAUGUAUUCUCGAUAUUCUCUAGCCACUACUUUCUCUUGAAUCAUUCUUCUUGGUGAACAAGGUUCUUUGAAUACUUCAACACAAUCUGGAACUUGAUUUGGUGUGCCAAGAAUUGGGAUAUCACUUUGCACCUUGGAAAGAGCUUCCACAAUGUCUUUUUCACUCUCUUCUUGCUUGGGAAUAAAAAACCUGCGAGGAAAAUGGACAUUGGGUGGAAUAGGGUUAGAAUUAACGGAAAUUGGACUCAACUUACAUGUAUUGGACAGUGGUGGAGCAUUGGGAGGCUGUG